AGAGUUUGAUCAUGGCUCAGGAUGAACGCUGGCGGCGUGCCUAAUACAUGCAAGUCAAACGGGUGUUGUCUUUCGAGAUGACAUCAGUGGCGUCCGGGUGAGUAACCCGUAGCUGACCUACCCUGUGCAGGGGGAUAACCCCGCGAAAGCGGGGCUAAGACCGCGUAAGCUGGUGGUGUUUAGAAAGCCAUCAGGAAAAGCUUCGGCUAGCACAGGCGGGGGCUGCGUUCCAUCAGCUCGUUGGUGGGGUAAUGGCCUACCAAGGCGACGACGGAUUGGGGACCUGAGAGGGUGACCCCCCACACUGGAACUGACACACGGUCCAGACUCCUACGGGAGGCAGCAGUAAGGAAUAUUGGUCAAUGGGCGCAAGCCUGAACCAGCAACGCCGCGUGCGGGAUGACGGGCUUCGGCCUGUAAACCGCUUUUCUGGGGGACGAUAAUGACGGUACCCUAGAAGA
rnacentral:rRNA from 1 species